rnacentral:rRNA from 1 species
GAGUUUGAUCGUGGCUCAGAACGAACGCUGGCGGCGUGUUUAAGACAUGCAAGUCGCACGGUAUCAUUGAUGUAGUAAUACUUUAAUGGUUCAGUGGCGCACGGGUGAGUAACACGUGAAUUACAUGCCCUAUAGAGGGGGAUAGCCCAGGGAAACUUGGAUUAAUACCCCAUAGUCUCGCAAGAGUAAAGGUGGCCGCAAGGCUGUCGCUAUAGGAUUGGUUCGCGCCCUAUCAGCUUGUUGGCGGGGUAACGGCCCACCAAGGCUACGACGGGUACCUGGUUUGAGAGGACGAUCAGGCACACUGGAACUGAGACACGGUCCAGACACCUACGGGUGGCAGCAGUCGAGAAUAAUUCACAAUGGGGGCAACCCUGAUGGUGCAACGCCGCGUGGAGGAUGACGGUCUUCGGAUUGUAAACUCCUGUCAUCUGGGAUAAGCCUGGGCAUUAAUAGUGCACAGGG